GACGAACGCUGGCGGCGUGCUUAACACAUGCAAGUCGAGCGGAGCGGCGAACGGGAGAGUAACGCGUGAGUAAUUGCCCCCCUCUCUGGGAUAACAGUUGGAAACGGCUGCUAAUACCGGAUAGUGGGGGAUGACUCGGGUCCUAUCAGCUUGUUGGUGGGGUAGUGGCCUACCAAGGCGACGACGGGUAGCCGGCCUGAGAGGUCAACCGGCCACAUUGGGCUGAGAUACGGCCCAGACUCCAACGGGGGGCAGCAGGGGGAAGUAUUGCGCAGUGGGGGAAACCCUGAUGCAGCAGCGCCGCGUGCGGGAUGACGGCCUUCGGGUUGUAAACCGCUUUCAGCCAUGACGCGGUAGUGGCAGAAGAAGCACCGGCUAACUACGUGCCAGCAGCCGCGGUAAUUC
rnacentral:rRNA from 1 species